AUCCUUUUGUAGUUCAUAAGCAUGAUAAUUGGGUUUUCAUGCUCAUGUGUGAGCUGUACCUCCCUUAAACCUUGUUAUGAUGUUGACACAUUACCUGUCUGACA
rnacentral:snoRNA from 1 species